ensembl:misc_RNA
UUUAUUUUAUUCUACAACAUGAAGGUAACUGCAAACAUAUUGUUCAAAGAAAAUAAAAGGUACUUUUCAGGCUUUAGUCUGCAAUAACUUAAAGGAAAGGACCCAGA